UGACCUCGAUCAGUAC
rnacentral:rRNA from 1 species